AUUUGGGUGCUUUUGCUGCCCGUGGCUGUGCUCAGCGUUGUGGGAAGCCCCUGGGAGGCCGAAUGUGCAGGAUCACCGAGGGGAAAGUGAGCUUGACAGUUUUCUUCGCAUGAGAUGGCUUUUUUGCACAAAAACACUGGAAUCCAGUGAGCAAGAAUGAUAGAAUGCAAGAUGGAUUUCCACAUGAGGAAGUGUCACGAACAAGCGUUUUGCAUCUCUGUCAGCUGGAUUCCCCCAUGUGUACGUAUGUGAGAACAUGCCGUGUUUCCUGUCUGUAAUGGUAGAGGCAGCCCUGAUACUGGAUUUUCACCUGAGGAUGGAUAGAUCUUCAGGGUUCAAGUGGGUUUGCAUCUGGACUUUAGGGUGGCCCUGUAGGCCCUGUGUGAGAAGCCCCCUUCCCAGUGAACUUUCCCUUGUGUGCCCGCGUGGACAGCCAACAGGGGGAGCAGUGCGAGCGUGAAGGCAGACAGUGGCCUGGCCCAGUCUGAUGGAAAAGAACUACAGCCUGUGUGGGUCCCCUCCCGACAAUUAAAAUUGCACCAUAACUCCAAAGAUGAAACGCUCCCAGAAAGAAAAGGCAAAGACCCAUCGGAAACAAAAGAGCAACUUUCACCGCCUGAUACAUACACUUCAUGACAUCCACAUUGAGACAAAAUCUCGCCGUGUGACCUACAACACCUCUCGUUCAACCCCACCUACUUGGGGUCGAAUACAGAUUUUAUCUCAUCAAACAGAAAAAUUCUUAACAGAAAAAGGAAUCCCAAAAAUGACUGGUAAUAUAAUUCUGGCUGCCUUUAUGGUAGUCAGUGCAGCGUCUGCAGAUGCCUCUAAGGAGUCCGAAACCAAGUCCGAAGUCAACAACAAGCAAUGAUGGCGAUGGCGAUUCUAGUUAAUAAAAAGGGGGGAGAUGUGGGCGGCAAGCCACCCAGGCACCGAGGCAAGAGACAGAGGACACGAGCUGUUCCAGUAUAAUAAAAUAUAAAACAAGAAUAGUUAUACCAGAUAUAGAUCUUAGAUAUGAUUAUAUACGAAUAUCAUUAAUCAUGAGUUUGUAGCAAUUACUUUUUAUUCCAAUAUUAUGAUAAUCCUCGCUCUAUAAUCAUAGCCUAGGAAAAACCAGGCCAUACAGAGAUAGGAGCUGAGGGGACAUAGUGAAGUGUGACCAGAAGACAAGAGUGCGAGCCUUCUGUUAUGCCCGGACAGGGCCACCAGAGGGCUCCUUGGUCUAGCGGUGACGCCAGCGUCUGGGAAGACACCCGUUACCAGGCGGAUCGUGGCCCAGCCGUAGCAAAAGGUGUCAAGGAACACCUUUUGCAAAAGGUGUCAACACCCGCUACUUAGCAGACUGGGAAAGGGGGGCGGUCUCCCUUUCCCCGGGGGAGUUUAGAGAAGACUCUGUUCCUCCACCUCUUGUGGAGGGCCUGACAUCAGUCAGGCUUGCCCGUAGUUAUCCGGAGGCCUAACUGUCUCCCUGUGAUGCUGUGCUUCAGUGGUCACGCUCCUAGUCUGCCUUCAUUUUCCAUCCUGUACACCUGGCUCUGCCUUCUAGAUAGCAGUAGUAAAUUAGUGAAAAUACUAAUAGUCCCUGAUAUGCAGAAAUAAUGGCAUAAGCUGUCUUUCUCUCUGUCUCCUCUCCCUCUCUGCCUCGGCUGCCAGGCAGGGAAGGGCCCCCUGUCCAGUGGACACAUGACCCAUGUGACCUUACCUAUCAUUGGAGGUGACUCACAUUCUUUACCCUGCCCCUUCUGCCUUGUAUCCAAUAACAGCGCAGUCAGACAUUCAGGGCCACUACCGGUCUCC
ensembl:lncRNA ERVK13-1 endogenous retrovirus group K13 member 1